rnacentral:lncRNA from 1 species
UUUAUUUCAAGAACGCAAAAUAUAUGAUGAACACAAAUUUUAAACCACUACUAUCAACACCAACAUCGUUAACAUAGUGAUUCAAGCAUCAAGAGAGAAUAUACUACAAUGACAUUUUUAGUUCACCAACGGCACAUAUUACACAUCAACUGCACAUAACACAACACAUCAACUACACAUCACUUAUUUAGUUAACCACUAAUCAUGCUGGCCCCUUCCCUUUCAAAUCCACUCCCGCACUUUCGUUGGCCUUCCUUAUUGUCGCAUUCAAAGAAAUCUCAAUGUUUCAUUCCUCGGAGACCAUGUGACAAAGAGAUUGGAACAUGCGAGAGCACUACUGAACUUCUUCAAGUGCUGCAUGAUUAUUCGAGUUAAUGGUAACAUUACUCGAUCCACAGCUUGAUUUUCCCUCGUUGACCCAUUCCCAAUAUUUAUAGUUAGCACUACAGUAGUUGAACAUUUUUCCCUUGUUCUUCGUCUCCCUCUUGAUCUCGAAGCACUUCAGAAAUCCACUUUUACACAAGGGGCAUCGCCUUUUGUUUGGGCAAUCCGCAAAUAAGUGGCCUUAUCUCUAUAGCUAUGACAAAGUCCGAAGUUUUUUCCUGGCAUACUACACACAAACGACACACAGAUUACAUUACAUUAAACAACUAUACAAGUUUUUAACAAAAUUCCCUUGCUUAGUGCAAUCGAGUUACUCACAAAAUUCGAAUUUAAAACAAAAAAUAAAUGUCAAGAACUAUAUCAACAGCAAACAAAAAUUCAGAAUUUGUUAAAUUUAACACAAUUUGUGGCUAUAUUUUCUAGUUUAACAGCAAACAAUUUAAUUCAAAACCUUAUAUCUUCACAGCCUUUGGCAGUAAGAUAAGAUUUGGCAAUGAUAACAAACAAAUACAAGUUCAAAUCAACAAUAGCCACAGAGAUAUUCCCAUUACAAAGUCCAAAUGGAGUUCAAGUGUCCAAUUUUCCACCCCUAACCACACAUAAUAUCUUUUCGCAGCCAACGGUGCCCAGAUUAACAUAUAUUCAACACUAGCCCAGAUUAUCACAUAUUCGAAACUUGCACAUAUUCGAAAUGGAGUUCAAAACUUUGCAACGCAGUAUGUCGGGUUCUUCAAAGAAGUAGAGAUGAGGGUGAGAUUUUUCCAUUCCUUGAAGCUAAAAUUACUUCACCACAGUAAAACACAAUGACCAAAUAUCAUACUUACAUAAUAUUUGCUCAAGAUUCCGUCGGAGAAGAAGGCAUCAACGACGGGCAAUUUUGCUGCGUACAGAGGGCUUCAAUCUUGCGGCUAUAAAAAAAUUUCUCACGACCGUGUAAUUAACUUAGUGUGGAAAACAAAAUUAUAGAGAUGAUCACUAGAUUAAGCAUCAUCUUCUCAAUAUUGUAGAGUGCAGCCUCAGAUCUCCUCGCAUUAGUUGAUUCAUUAAAGAGGGUUUU